UACGUAGGGUGCAAGCGUUAAUCGGAAUUACUGGGCGUAAAGCGUGCGCAGGCGGUUGUGCAAGACCGAUGUGAAAGCCCUGGGCUCAACCUGGGAAUGGCACUGGAUACUGGAAGGCUAGAGUACGGUAGAGGAGGGUGGAAUUCCCGGUGUAGCGGUGAAAUGCGCAGAUAUCGGGAGGAACACCUAUGGCGAAGGCAGCUCGCUGGGACGUUACUGACGCUGAUGGACGAAAGCGUGGGGAGCGAACAGG
rnacentral:rRNA from 1 species